rnacentral:rRNA from 1 species
UACGGAGGGAGCUAGCGUUGUUCGGAUAUACUGGGCGUAAAGCGCACGUAGGCGGACCUGCAAGUCGGGGGUGAAAGCCCGAGGCUCAACCUCGGAACUGCCUUCGAUACUGCGGGUCUCGAGUCCGGGAGAGGUGAGUGGAAUUCCUAGUGUAGAGGUGAAAUUCGUAGAUAUUAGGAAGAACACCAGUGGCGAAGGCGGCUCACUGGCCCGGUACUGACGCUGAGGCGCGAAAGCGUGGGGAGCAAACAGG